AUUGAACGCUGGCGGCAUGCUUUACACAUGCAAGUCGAACGGUAACAGGGUGCUUGCACCGCUGACGAGUGGCGAACGGGUGAGUAAUGCAUCGGAAUGUACCGUGUAUUGGGGGAUAGCUCGGCGAAAGCCGGAUUAAUACCGCAUACGCCCUGAGGGGGAAAGUGGGGGACCGAAAGGCCUCACGUUAUACGAGCAGCCGAUGUCUGAUUAGCUAGUUGGUGAGGUAAAGGCUCACCAAGGCGUCGAUCAGUAGCGGGUCUGAGAGGAUGAUCCGCCACACUGGAACUGAGACACGGCCCAGACUCCUACGGGAGGCAGCAGUGGGGAAUUUUGGACAAUGGGCGAAAGCCUGAUCCAGCCAUGCCGCGUGUGUGAAGAAGGCCUUCGGGUUGUAAAGGACUUUUGUCCGGGAGGAAAUCCUAGUGGUUAAUAACCGCUGGGUCUGAGAGUACCGGAAGAAUAAGCACCGGCUAACUACGUG
rnacentral:rRNA from 1 species